AUGCAGUCGAACGGUAGGUUUUUCUUCGGAGAGACCGAGAGUGGCGCACGGGUGCGUAACACGUAUGCAACCUACCUCUUACAGGGGGAUAGCCCGGAGAAAUUCGGAUUAAUACCCCAUGGCAUCAAGCGAUCGCAUGGUUGUUUGAUUAAAGAUUCAUCGGUAAGAGAUGGGCAUGCGUCUGAUUAGCUAGUUGGCGGGGUAACGGCCCACCAAGGCAACGAUCAGUAGGGGUUCUGAGAGGAAGGUCCCCCACACUGGCACUGAGAUACGGGCCAGACUCCUACGGGAGGCAGCAGUAGGGAAUAUUGGGCAAUGGACGAGAGUCUGACCCAGCCAUGCCGCGUGCAGGAAGACGGCCUAUUGGGUUGUAAACUGCUUUUAUCUGGGAAGAAAAAGCCCAUGCGUGGGAAACUGCCGGUACCAGAUGAAUAAGCACCGGCUAACUCCGUGCCAGCAGCCGCGGUAAU
rnacentral:rRNA from 1 species